rnacentral:rRNA from 1 species
AUCAUGGAGAGUUUGAUCCUGGCUCAGAACGAACGCUGGCGGCGCGUCUUAAGCAUGCAAGUCGAGCGGCAAUUAUCAGCAAUGGUAACUAGAGCGGCGGACUGGUGAGUAACGCGUGGGUGACCUACCCUUAGGUUGGGGAUAGCCGCUAGAAAUAGCGGGUAAUACCGAAUAUUUUUGCUGUGCUUUGGCAUAGCAAGGAAAGGAGCUUCGGCUUCGCCUGAGGAUGGGCCCGCGUCCUAUUAGCCUGUUGGUGGGGUAAAGGCCUACCAAAGCUAUGAUAGGUAGCCGGCCUGAGAGGGUGAACGGCCACAUUGGGACUGAGAUACGGCCCAAACUCCUACGGGAGGCAGCAGCUAAGAAUAUUCCGCAAUGGACGAAAGUCUGACGGAGC